CAGCAACGCAAAAAACCAAACAACAGCGGCACAUCGUGCAAGUGACUGCAGACCGCCCAAUUGGCCGCGCACAGCGCCCAAGGGGGCGACACUCAGUGCCCGAGGUAAUUGCACACUACCCUAACUUGUCGCGCCCAGGACCUAUAGCGAGCAGGGCGCUACGCUCAGGCCUACCGCGCAUAGGCCCAUGAGUGUAGGCCUUCUGUGCUGGCCUACCGCAUGGAUGAUGCGCGCACACGACACAUGGAGCCGUGCCCAUCUGCGUGCGAUGGGACACGUGCGCAAACUGUUCCUAUCUGCGCACGAUCGG
rnacentral:lncRNA from 1 species